rnacentral:rRNA from 1 species
AUGCCUGGUACGGUACCUGAAUCGUGGCCGGGUCUGAUUGGUACUGAACUCAAUGCUGCAGUUCAGAUCAUCUCUCAGGAGAGGCCUGAUAUCAGAAUUGCCCGAGUACUCCCUCCAGGCGAGGCUCCAUCCCCACCGCCACAAGACCAAGUACGCGUUAUCAUUUACAACGUCGUUGGCCCAGUGCCUGAUACAUGGGUGGUUGCUCCUCCUGCACCAUACAUUGGCUAG